rnacentral:lncRNA from 1 species
AUAAUGUCUGCACUCUGGGGAGAGUCUCAGCCAUGUGCACUUUCACUUUUGCUUCUGUUUCGAUCAAGAUCCACGGUGAUUCUUAUAUUCCAGCUCCGGUUGAGAUCCAUGCUACAAGGUAUCCUCUAACACCUUCCAUUUGCAAGUCCUCGUGAGAAUCUAUUGCCUGGUGAUCCGAGGUGAAAGAGUUUCAUUCGGAAACCAUUCCCCGACCCCGAUCCGUGGGAAUAUCAUCUUUCAUGAAACUGUCUCUGGUGCCAAAAAGGUUGGAGACCUCUGUCUUAAAAGAUAUAAGCUGUCAGACCUGGGCCUGGCAUGUAGUGAAUUGUGGCUAUUGUUUUUAUUCUUUUUGUCUAUUGGAGAUUUGGAAACAAUUGAUUUUUUUUUUGUCAUUAAUUUUCACUUUCAGGUUGUCAUGAAAUUUAUUUUAUUCAAUUGUAAAACCAUAGACCUCUAGAACAAGCUCGUCUUGUCUAAUCCGCAGCCUGCAGGACGCAUGCUGUGCAUCUACAACUACAGAACCUGUCAAAGCCAAAAUAUCAUUUGGGGCUAUGCCAGAUGUCUUCCCACCAGGUCAGAAAGGAGCUGUAUCUGCCAGAUUCCAAGAACUGUCUUAGAAGAAAGCAGAACCGAGGCCCGACGAGACACCAGCCGUGGAAGGAGGUAAAAAUGUGGAAACCUCUUUAUCUGAAGUCUCAGUUCAGAUGCUCCUCCACUUACCGUGGGACUUUGGGAUGGUUUGGGUAGUUUGUCCUCUCCAAACCUCAUGUUGAAAUGUGAUUCCCAGCGUUGGAGGUGGGCGUGGGAGAUGUUUGUGUCAUGGAGGUGGAUCCUCAUGGUACCAUCCUCUUGCCAAUGAGUAAGUUCUCCCUGUGUUUGUUAAUGUGAGAGCUGAUUGUUAAAA